AACUUAGCCCUUCCUUACUUGUUAUUACUAUUAUCUUUUGUCCUAUCACAUUUUGUCAUUCACAUUGAAAUUGCCGGUUUUUUAUCCUCUUAUGUAAUUUAGUUCCGCAUGAGAACUUAAACGCAAAGAAAGAACCAUUUCAGUAUGCUUCUUAUAUUUUUCUGUUAGUAAAAGGGUCAGUUGCUGCUUAAUAGGUCAUGAUUUCAAGUGAUUUGGAAUAAAUGCAAAUCAUUUUUUGUGUGUUUUUGUAAAGAAUUUUAUACCAAUACUUUAGCAAAAUUAAUAACAUAACCAUCAUAAACCAGCCGGAUAUGUGUUUUUCAUAAUAGAAAGUGGUACGUUAAUAUUUACACGUUGAUGUGCUACGCGAUGUUAAAGUGCGAUAACUCUCUAACGUGAAGCGUCGCUUUUGUUCGGUACUAAUGUUGGGCAAUGGAUUUGGCAACUCCCACUUUUAGGUAACAAGAGAUAAAUCAAUCACCUAUGAAGAAAUCGGAAAAAACUUAACACAAAUAGUGCUUCUUUGUGUCAGCUCUAAACAAUGUCGAUAUAGAAUAUACCAAACCUCCAGAACCUCCUCAGGCUGAUUUCAUACACAUACAAUAAUGGGUCAAUUUAUGAGAUACAUAUCUUAAUAAAAUCGAGUAUGCAUAAUGAAUCAAUAUUAUUUUUUUCCUUCUUCUGGAUGAGCUAAGAACUUACCAUAUAUUAUGGCUGGGAUCUAAGUGAUAAGAAAAUCGCUGCAUUUGUUUCUGACGGAGGAUCCAAUAUUAAGGGAGCUAUUAAAAGUGAAUUCGGCAGUGAAAAACACAUUUCGUUUAUUGCACACGGCAUCAACAAUAUCGGGCAAAGACUGAUUGACAUAAAUGUAACCCCAUCAGCAUCUGAAUCUGAAGAUCAAAUAGUCGAACUUCCUUUAAAAGAAGACGAUAUUAUCGAUGAUUCUAUAAAACUGAAGAUUUUAAGUCAGAUACUGUGACAGGGCGUCAAUUACAAAAAAAAAAAAACUCACUCAAGAAAUUGAAAAUAAAUAUGGAAACAUUGAAUCCUUACGAUGAAAAAGUUACUCCAGUUAUUGAAGCCCAAGGAUCUCAAAAAGACGAAAAAUGCGAUGAUAUUUGAUGAAGCUGUCAAGCACAACCAGUCUCAAGCAGAUACUGAUGAAGCGAGAGGAUUUCCGAUACAGUUGCGUCAGUAUUUAAAUCGUCCAGUGUUGGUUAUCCAAUUAAUUGAUGGUUGGAUGACUAAUUUCAAAAAACGCUUCAGUAUCUGUCUUCUUAAAGAAUGUAAUGGAAAGCUGUCACCUAACGUAAUAAUGUGGGACCAUAUAUAAAGAAGCGAACGUAAUAAAAAAUAAUAACAUUUCCCACGAAGCAAUUUUCAAUGCAGUUGAAUGCGGAAUUUAUUGGAAAUUGUUUGUUGAAGAAACAUAGGCCAAACCGUUCAUAAACAAAUUGCUACCUAUAUGAACUCGAAAUCUGCUUGGAUGAAUACUUUACUAUACAUAUUUUUAACUGAAUAUAUUUGGUUAUUAAUUUGAAAAUAUAGUUUUAUUAUAAGUAAAAAGAAUACCACUGUAUUAUAGAUGUAGUUAUUAUAAAUGUUUAAAAGCUCUUCAACAGUUAUAAGUGCAAAGUGUUAUUAAAUUAUAUGAUUUGCACAUGAUAUGCGUGUUUUUUAAUUUUGCUAAAUUAAAUACAGAUUGCUAUGAAAAAAGUUGUCUAAAUGAUUAA